UUGCCGCUAGAAAAUCUUCAUGCAAUCAGAGAGUUUAAUAUUUCAAGCUGCCAGCAAAACACAAGCCAUGUUGCAUUCUUGGAGUUACAUCUGCUUAAUCUUGUCUUUCUCAAACGCUUCAAAAUCAGAAGAUGUCCUGGCAUCUGGUUCUCACCAAAUCAUAAGCUGCCGCCUGCACUUCAGGUUCUGGAGGUAUUGAAUUGUCCCUUGCUGGAAGAAUGGUGCCACGGACAUGGGAGUAAUGAACUAGUUCACAUUUCUCGAGUAAUCGUUGAUCAGAAAGAUUUCCAUCUGGUUGCUGCAGAGCGAACCAAAGAUGCUGAUCAGGGAAUAUAUGAAGACAGUUGAAAAGGAUAGAAUAUCUGGACGCUGAAGUGUUUUAACCCUUUUAAUUUGGCAUCUAGCUGUAAGUCUUCCUUCCGAGAGCCAACCAAAAUUAUUACCAUGCUUGUUGUGCUAGCACCUGUCUGCUCUAAAAAACUAGUAUAGUCGGCAUUCUUCUGGUGCUUCAAUGUGCCAGUUAUCUAAAUAAGUGCCCAAUGAUGAUACAGCAUUUUAGUGUUGGAAAGGUCAGAAAUAAGAUAACCUUAUGGCAUUUGGUGUUGGAAA